UCCUGGUCUGAUCACUUGUCUUGUGAAUAUUCUCAGCCUCUACUCUUGGCCUGGAAUACACUGGACAUAAAGGGGAAUGCUGCGCCCCAAGGGUAUUUCCCGUGCUCUAAAUGCUGACCAGGGUUGCAGCUAACGGGAGUGAAACCAGCCCAGUAGAGGUCAGAGAAGGGAGAAGUAAGGCACCAUGAUAAACCCUGACACACCUGACUGGCCUGUGAACAACUAAAAUUCCUGCCCUUCUAAGAACAGUCCUCCCAGCACUCCCUCUUAAGAGGCACCUUCCACAGUUUUCUGGACCCUUUGGAAUUCCUCGGUGUCAUGACCAAAGUAGGAUAGAGGUCCAGAGCUAUACACAGCACCCUCCAUUUGCCAUCUGUCUCCUGGUCAUCUGAAUGGGGUCAUCAUCAUGUUAAUCAGUACCAGAGACCCAGUUUCAGCUGAAGAUCAUAUUCCAGAAUGUAUUCUCAGAGUAACGUAUUCAAAGGAAAAUGAAUAAUCACCAGCUCACCCAGCGUCAUUAAUCCCCAGUAAGUAAGUGCACUCCAGCAUGAACGCAUUAAUUCUCCUUACCCAAGUUUUCAGAUUUAAAAUAAAUGUUUGAUGUA